AUGUCCUUUCCUUCUUGGAUAGUGUCUGUUCUAACACGUGCCAUUUGGGAUCCCUUGGAAUCUUCAUGUACGGAACUGGUUGCUGCCUCGUUGAGUCGGUGGGGACAGAAUAGCUCCUGGUUGACAGCAUGGGUUGUGCAGAAGGACGGAUCCUGCAGACAUCAAUAUCUGGCUUUGAGUGGCACAAAGAAAUAAAGGAACGUGGAUUCAGACCUCACUGGGAUGCUUGGCAAUUCUAAUUCUACCCCAGACUGCAAAUGGACACACAACUGUUGUGACUUUUGUUGAAGAGGAGAAGGAUGGUGAAGGUCUCUUUAGUCAAUAAUCUCUUUGCUGAAAUUGCUUCGGGCAGCACAGAAGCUGGAUUCAGAAGCACACAGGUCUGGGGAUGCAGGCUUCGGCCAGCCUGAUGCAAGGAAAGACUGCCAUCUCGUGGUCAGCUCAAUCCUGGCACCUUGGUGAGGGUCCAGGCUGCAGAAAACCAGGCUUGGGGAGGAAAUGGUGCUGCAAACUGGAUUUCUGCCGGACAGUGUGGAUGCCCUUAGAAAACACCCAGAAAAGAGCUGAGUGCCCCCCAAGGUAGGCUUCAGUGAAUCCUCUGCAGGUGUGUUGUCAUCCCUUGAGCCAAACACAUGCUUCACACACACACUGCAGGCUGUGUGAAAAUGAGGUAGAAAUGUGGGGAAAACAUAAUCCCAUGGAGAGAACAAAGAGCUGAACACGUAAAUGCCUCCGGCGUGCCUGGCAGAGAGAACACUCAGGCUGAGAGAAGGGACAGUGACUUGUACCAAAGGUAGGCAAGUAGCCUUUGGGGGGGUCUCAAUCAGCAGGGCAUCUGGUCAACCCCUCAGACAAAGUCAGGUCUGAGCAGGCAAGAUCCAUG
rnacentral:lncRNA from 1 species